UACGGAGGGGGCUAGCGUUAUUCGGAAUUAUUGGGCGUAAAGGGCGCGUAGGCGGCCCGGUAAGUCAAAGGUGAAAUCCCUCGGCUCAACUGAGGAACUGCCUUUGAAACUGUCGGGCUUGAGGCCGGGAGGGGGUAGCGGAAUUCCCAGUGUAGCGGUGAAAUGCGUAGAUAUUGGGAAGAACACCGGUGGCGCAAGCGACUUGCUGGGCCAUUACUGACGCUGAGGAACGAAAGCUAGGGGAGCGAAUGGG
rnacentral:rRNA from 1 species